CCUACGGGUGGCAGCAGUCGAGAAUCAUUCACAAUGAGGGAAACCUUGAUGGUGCGACGCCGCGUGGGGGAAUGAAGGUCUUCGGUUUGUAAACGCCUGUCAUGUGGGAGCAAAUUAAAAAGAUAGUACCACAAGAGGAAGAGGCGGCUAACUCUGUGCCAGCAGCCGCGGUAAUACAGAGGUCUCACGCGGUGUUCGGAAUCACUGGGCGUAUAGCGGGCGUAGGCUGUUUCGUAAGUCGUGGGUGAAAGGCGCGGGCUCAACCCGCGGACGGCACAGGAUACUGCGAGACUAGAGUAAUGGAGAGGGAAGCGGAAUUCUCGGUGGAGCAGUGAAAUGCGUAGAUA
rnacentral:rRNA from 1 species